rnacentral:sRNA from 12 species
CACGUGGACUGUUACAUAAAACCGUAGUAGACACUAUUACAGUUUCGAGACGGGACAGGAAGAAACGUGAA